AUGGCGGAGGUCAAACAUUCUUACAGAACCAUCAGCGCCCACAGAGGCAAACAUGUCCCUGCCCCCUCCGGCCCGGCUGAAGGCGAUGUCAUAGACCUGUUGGUGAGAAGGUCCAGAUUCAGCUCAGCUGUCGCCUCUCCCACAGCAUGGACGGCUGUCAUUCUCAGACCAUCUGAACCCUAACUCACCACACAAGCGGAAGGCAACUGGGAGCUGGAGGUAUGGCUUGGUGUUUAAGAGAACUUGUUGCUCUUGUUGAAGACCCAGGUUCAGCUACGAGUGAUCUGUAACUCUAGAAUGGAGGAUGACACCCCCUUCUGGCCUUCUCAUACUAUACACACAUGUGGUACAAGGACAUGCAUACAUACAGGCAAACACCCAUACACAUAAAAUAAAAAUAAAAAUAAAAAUAAAUAAAUCUUAAAAAAUAAAA
rnacentral:lncRNA from 1 species